rnacentral:rRNA from 1 species
CCUACGGGUGGCAGCAGUGGGGAAUAUUGGGCAAUGGGCGCAAGCCUGACCCAGCAACGCCGCGUGAAGGAAGAAGGCUUUCUGGUUGUUAACUUCUUUUCUGAGGGACGAAGAAAGUGACGGUACCUCAGGAAUAAGCCACGGCUAACUACGUGCCAGCAGUCGCGGGAAUACGUAGGUGGCAAGCGUUCUCCGGAUUUAUUGGGUGUAAAGGGCGUGUAGGCGGGAAAGCAAGUCAGAUGUGAAAACUCCGGGCUCAACCCUGAGCCUGCAUUUGAAACUGUUUUUCUUGAGUGCUGGAGAGGCAAUCGGAAUUCCGUGUGUAGCGGUGAAAUGCGUAGAUAUAAGGCGGAACACCAGUGGCGAAGGCAGAUUGCUGGACAGUAACUGACGCUGAGGCGCGAAAGCGUGGGGAGCAAACAGGAUUAGAUACCCGGGUAGUC